GGAAGCGAACGGGGCCCGGUGGCCCUCCCGGUCUUCAAAAUCGGUUGCUCCCCGUUUAUUCGGGGAGGCUCGGUUCGACUCCGAGGCGCUUCC
rfam:Acidobacteria bacterium 13_2_20CM_2_66_4 13_2_20cm_2_scaffold_662, whole genome shotgun sequence.